UUUGGGAUAGCUACAGAAAAAGGGAGGAUUCAGUGAGUGAAUCCAUCCAUCAUCCAUCAUCCAUCCAUCCAUCAUCCAUCCAUCCAUCAUCCAUCCAUCCAUCAUCCAUCCAUCCAUUAUCCAUCCAUCAUCCAUCCAUCAUCCAUCCAUCCAUCAUCCAUCCAUCCAUCAUCCAUCCAUCCAUCCAUCCAUCAUCCAUCCAUCCAUCAUCCAUCCAUCCAUCCAUCCAUCAUCCAUCCAUCCAUCCAUCCAUCCAUCCAUCCAUCCAUCCAUCCAUCCAUCCAUCAUCCAUCAUCCAUCCAUCCAUCCAUCAUCCAUCCAUCAUCAUGGAAUAUGUGAAUUAUUUGCA
rnacentral:lncRNA from 1 species